rnacentral:rRNA from 1 species
UAACCUGGUUGAUCCUGCCAGUAGUCAUAUGCUUCGUUCAAGGACUAAGCCAUGCAUGUCUCAGCGUACACGGCUUCCCACAGUGGGUCUGUGAAUGGCUCCUUACAUCAGCAGUCAUCUACGUGAUAGAGUGUGGAUGGCACCACUCUGCCAGGUGCUCGCUUGGAUAUCCUCCAAAACCUAGUGGCUAAUACACGGUCGCCCCGGUCUGCUACGUCCAACCAAGAACGGUCCCGCCCAAGCUCUCCGCUUGCCCGACCGGCAGUGGAUUGCGCCCAGCCGCUCCUGAAGACCAGCGCCUGGAAAUGGCAGCGUUUCGUGGUUGACUCAGGCUGGCAUCGAACGAUAUCUGGCUCCUGCGCUGGCACAAGUGGUGGCCUCGGCCACAAGCAUUGCUUGAUCACACGAGCUUCUGACCUAUCAGCUUCGAUGGUGGUGUAUUGGACCACCAUGGCUAUGACGGGUAACGGAGAAUCAGGGUUCGAUUCCGGAGAGGGAGCCUGAGAGACGGCUACCACUUCCAAGGAGGGCAGCAGGCACGCAAAUUGCCCAAUGCUGAGACAUGUCUGGUGAGGCAGCGACGAACUGCAGCAAUUCCGCCUGUCCUUCGUGACCAGCGGAACUUGGAAUGGAUGCAAUCCAAACACAGUGAUGAGUAUCGACUGGAGGGCAAGUCUGGUGCCAGCAGCUGCGGUAAUUCCAGCUCCAAGUGCGUAUACUAACGUUGCUGCUGUUAAAACACUUGUAGUCGGAUGCUGGGUCGCAGGUCUGCUGGGUGGCAGCCGCGGGUCCGCCCGUCUUGCCCCGUGGGGUUCGCCUCGCGGGGCGGGGCAGCCCGCGUGCUGAUACAACCCCCGGCGGUAUUUCCUCCUGCACCCGUCUUUACACGAGUGGUGCGAAAGAUUCCUGCUCAAAGUCCCCUUCAGUGGGGAUCGCUGCGGUUGCAUACCAAACGCUUGUGUGUCGACGUCGCGGGGGCUCGGCCGUUCCAUCAGUGCCGUUCUCGCCACCCCAGUCCACCACCGGAAUCCGCCCUCCCUGUCACCGUGGAAAACUCAGUGUGCCCAACGCGUCCAUCUUCGGCUGGAUGCCCGUCCAUGGAAUGUCAAAGCAUCGACCCGAUGUGGCUAUGGAGUUGUGCUGGCCUUGGUGCCCCUCCGGGGGAACCUGGCACCGUCCCCAAGGCUUCCUGGCGCGGUCGGCGGUGCCCCUCGCACCGGCCCGCGGGACCGGCCCCCUCCGGGGCCGGCUCCCGCGGUGUCCGUGGCGUUGGGCCCACCCCGCGUCGCUGCGGGCCGGCGAGGGCGGUGUCGAACGUCCGCGAUGGGACUGCUCAGGGUGAAAGAUACAGCAGCGCCAGAGGUGAAAUUCUUAGACCGCUGCUAGAUCAACUGCAGCGAAGGCGUUCUGCAAGUGCGUGUUCGUCGAUCAAGAAUGUGAGUGUGGGGAGCGAAGAUGAUCAGACACCGUCGUAGUCCACAACUGUGAACCAUGCCAGCUCGGUGUUGAUGGGGCAAGUCCACGGACCCCACCAGCGCCACUCCCCCUGCAACGAGAAAUCCAAGCCUUUGGGUUCAGGGGGGAGUACUGUCGCAAGGCUGAAACUUAAAGGAAUUGACGGAAUGGCACCACAAGGCGUGGAGUAUGCGGCUUAAUUUGACUCAACACGGGGAAUGUUACCAGGUCAGGACGUUGCUGGGAUGGACAGAUUGAAGGGCUCUUUCUUGAUCCCUCGGAUGGUGGUGCAUGGCCGCUCCUGAUUGGUGGAGUGAUUUGUCUGGUUGAUUCCGAUAACGAGUGAGACAUCUGCCUCCCAAUAGCCCCAGCCUCGCAUUCUGUAGGGCGGGCGCAGCGUGUCCAGCCCGAUGGCGGUCCGUGGGGGUUCGCCCCUCCGGGCCCCGCGGGUCCCGGCCGCCGCGCCCCGCCCGAGAGGUUCGGGAUCAGCUUCUCUGAGGUGCUGUGUGCGCCACCAAGUGCACGCAUGCGAGAGCCAACAGCAGGUCUGUGAUGCUCCCAGAUGUCCUGGGCCGCACGCGCACUACAUUGGCCCGGUGAAUGUGUGUCCAUACCCGCUCUGCCGGGACCUGCCCAGAAAGUGGGUGGGAAACCCCUGGAGUCCGCAGCAUUGGCCGUACUGGGGAUAGAUGAUUGCAACUGUCUGCCUUGAACGAGGAAUGCCUAGUAGGCGCGGGUCAUCAGCCCGCACCGAUUGUGUCCCUGCCAUUUGUACACACCGCCCGUCGUUGCUACCGAUGGCACCUGGAUAGAGCCAUCAGGAGGUCCAGGCCCCCCUCCUCGGAGGGCCCGGCCGAAAUUGGGCUAUGUCCGGCUGCUAGAGGAAGCAAAAGUCGUAACAAGGUUGCUGUAGGUGAACCUGCAGAAGGAUCAAA